UACAGAGGGGGCUAGCGUUGUUCGGAAUUACUGGGCGUAAAGCGUGCGUAGGCGGCUUAAUAAGUCAGAAGUGAAAGCCCAAGGCUUAACCUUGGAAUUGCUUUUGAUACUGUUGAGCUUGAAGGUGGUAGAGGAUAGUGGAAUUCUUAGUGUAGGAGUGAAAUCCGUAGAUAUUAAGAGGAACACCAGUGGCGAAGGCGACUAUCUGGACCAUUCUUGACGCUGAGGUACGAAAGUGUGGGGAUCAAACAGG
rnacentral:rRNA from 1 species